AACGAACGCUGGCGGCAUGCCUAACACAUGCAAGUCGAACGCCUGUAGCAAUACAGGAGUGGCAGACGGGUGCAUAACACGUGGGAACCUACCCUUGGGUUCGGAAUAACCGCGGGAAACUGCGGCUAAUACCGGAUACGUCCUCUGGGAGAAAGAUUCAUCGCCCUUGGAGGGGCCCGCGUCGGAUUAGCUAGUUGGUGAGGUAACGGCUCACCAAGGCGACGAUCCGCAGCUGAUCUGAGAGGAUGAUCAGCCACACUGGAACUGAGACACGGUCCAGACUCCUACGGGAGGCAGCAGUGGGGAAUAUUGGACAAUGGGGGCAACCCUGAUCCAGCAAUGCCGCGUGGGUGAUGAAGGCCUUCGGGUUGUAAAGCCCUUUUGGCAGGGACGAUGAUGACGGUACCUGCAGAAUAAGCCCCGGCUAACUUCGUGCCAGCAGCCGCAGUAA
rnacentral:rRNA from 1 species